rnacentral:rRNA from 1 species
GACGAACGCUGGCGGCGUGCUUAACACAUGCAAGUCGAACGGAAAGGCCCUGCUUUUGUGGGGUGCUCGAGUGGCGAACGGGUGAGUAACACGUGAGUAACCUGCCCUUGACUUUGGGAUAACUUCAGGAAACUGGGGCUAAUACCGGAUAGGAGCUCCUGCUGCAUGGUGGGGGUUGGAAAGUUUCGGCGGUUGGGGAUGGACUCGCGGCUUAUCAGCUUGUUGGUGGGGUAGUGGCUUACCAAGGCUUUGACGGGUAGCCGGCCUGAGAGGGUGACCGGCCACAUUGGGACUGAGAUACGGCCCAGACUCCUACGGGAGGCAGCAGUGGGGAAUAUUGCACAAUGGGCGGAAGCCUGAUGCAGCAACGCCGCGUGCGGGAUGACGGCCUUCGGGUUGUAAACUGCUUUCGCCUGUGACGAAGCGUGAGUGACGGUAAUGGGUAAAGAAGCACCGGCUAACUACGUGCCAGCAGCCGCGGUGAUACGUAGGGUGCGAGCGUUGUCCGGAUUUAUUGGGCGUAAAGGGCUCGUAGGUGGUUGAUCGCGUCGGAAGUGUAAUCUUGGGGCUUAACCCUGAGCGUGCUUUCGAUACGGGUUGACUUGAGGAAGGUAGGGGAGAAUGGAAUUCCUGGUGGAGCGGUGGAAUGCGCAGAUAUCAGGAGGAACACCAGUGGCGAAGGCGGUUCUCUGGGCCUUUCCUGACGCUGAGGAGCGAAAGCGUGGGGAGCGAACAGGCUUAGAUACCCUGGUAGUCCACGCUGUAAACGGUGGGUACUAGGUGUGGGGUCCAUUCCACGGGUUCCGUGCCGUAGCUAACGCUUUAAGUACCCCGCCUGGGGAGUACGGCCGCAAGGCUAAAACUCAAAGGAAUUGACGGGGCCCCGCACAAGCGGCGGAGCAUGCGGAUUAAUUCGAUGCAACGCGUAGAACCUUACCUGGGUUUGACAUGGAUCGGGAGUGCUCAGAGAUGGGUGUGCCUCUUUUGGGGUCGGUUCACAGGUGGUGCAUGGCUGUCGUCAGCUCGUGUCGUGAGAUGUUGGGUUAAGUCCCGCAACGAGCGCAACCCUUGUUCACUGUUGCCAGCACGUUAUGGUGGGGACUCAGUGGAGACCGCCGGGGUCAACUCGGAGGAAAGUGGGGAUGACGUCAAGUCAUCAUGCCCCUUAUGUCCAGGGCUUCACGCAUGCUACAAUGGCUGGUACAGAGAGUGGCGAGCCUGUGAGGGUGAGCGAAUCUCGGAAAGCCGGUCUCAGUUCGGAUUGGGGUCUGCAACUCGACCUCAUGAAGUCGGAGUCGCUAGUAAUCGCAGAUCAGCAACGCUGCGGUGAAUACGUUCCCGGGGCU